AUUGAACGCUGGCGGCAGGCCUAACACAUGCAAGUCGAGCGGUAACAGAAAGAAAGCUUGCUUUCUUUGCUGACGAGCGGCGGACGGGUGAGUAAUGCCUAGGAAAUUGCCCUGAUGUGGGGGAUAACCAUUGGAAACGAUGGCUAAUACCGCAUAAUCUCUUCGGAGCAAAGAGGGGGCUCUUAGGACCUCUCGCGUUAGGAUGGGCCCAGUUGGGAUUAGCUAGUUGGUGAGGUAAUGGCUCACCAAGGCGACGAUCCCUAGCUGGUCUGAGAGGAUGAUCAGCCACACUGGGAACUGAGACACGGGUCCAGACUCCUACGGGAGGCAGCAGUGGGGAAUAUUGCACAAUGGGCGCAAGCCUGAUGCAGCCAUGCCGCGUGUGUGAAGAAGGCCUUCGGGUUGUAAAGCACUUUCAGCAGUGAGGAAGGUGGUGUAGUUAAUACCU
rnacentral:rRNA from 1 species